GCCCAGAGCCUGAAUCAGUGUGUGUGUUAGUGGAAGCGUCUGGAAAGGCGCGCGAUACAGGGUGACAGCCCCGUACACAAAAAUGCACAUGCUGUGAGCUCGAUGAGUAGGGCGGGACACGUGGUAUCCUGUCUGAAUAUGGGGGGACCAUCCUCCAAGGCUAAAUACUCCUGACUGACCGAUAGUGAACCAGUACCGUGAGGGAAAGGCGAAAAGAACCCCGGCGAGGGGAGUGAAAAAGAACCUGAAACCGUGUACGUACAAGCAGUGGGAGCACGCUUAGGCGUGUGACUGCGUACCUUUUGUAUAAUGGGUCAGCGACUUAUAUUCUGUAGCAAGGUUAACCGAAUAGGGGAGCCGAAGGGAAACCGAGUCUUAACUGGGCGUUAAGUUGCAGGGUAUAGACCCGAAACCCGGUGAUCUAGCCAUGGGCAGGUUGAAGGUUGGGUAACACUAACUGGAGGACCGAACCGACUAAUGUUGAAAAAUUAGCGGAUGACUUGUGGCUGGGGGUGAAAGGCCAAUCAAACCGGGAGAUAGCUGGUUCUCCCCGAAAGCUAUUUAGGUAGCGCCUCGUGAAUUCAUCUCCGGGGGUAGAGCACUGUUUCGGCAAGGGGGUCAUCCCGACUUACCAACCCGAUGCAAACUGCGAAUACCGGAGAAUGUUAUCACGGGAGA
rnacentral:rRNA from 1 species